AGCAAAUGAGAUACACCUGAAGGAUGGGGAACUACUCUAUUCAAUAUUCUAGAGCAGGGAGAGCAUCUGUUUCUAAGGAGACCUGCAGCUAAAAGCAUCUGCUUCCAAGUCCAAGUCAAAAAGCCUAACAGAGUGAGCACACUAAGGGGAGUUGGGCUGGCCCGACUGCCCCUUCCCCCUGGUUUCCCAGGGAACCUGUUAGAAACCUGACAGUGGUCCCCAACAUGUAGUUAGUUCCCUGAAUGCCCGCGCCAGAAUCACCUGAAGUUUGUGAAAAUGCAGGCUUCUGGGCCAUUUCCUCAGAGAUUAUGAUUCAGCAAGCUCGGAAGGGCCUGGGAAUCAGCAAAGUGAAGCUGAUGGGAAGACAGUUAACACUGAAGAUCAGAGAACUCGGGCAACUUUCCUGAGACAGCACAGCAGCUGAGAAGCAGUCACGUCCAGCCGACAUUCAGUCAGCACCUAACAGGUCCUGGGCACUGGUUGGGACACAAAGAGGUGUAGAACCUGGCUUGGUCCUUCGAGGCAGCUCACUGCAGCUACCGGAACAGGUCUCAUUGAGCUAUUUGUUCUGUAAUUUUAUUCUCUGCUGUGAAUGUUGAUAGACAGGGAACAAAUAUCUCCUGGUUGGACUCUCCAAGCAUGGGGCACUGGGGAAGGAUGUCAAGCUCUGAGACCAUUGUUCACGAUGAGCGGCUGCACCCGCCCGCCCGCCAGCCUUUUAUCCAACUUGGCUGGGUGCUAUUAUUCAGCUCUGAGCCAUCACCAGGAGCUGCAAAGCAGUUAAUUACAGAAGUAUAAUCCCCUUCUUCACGAGAAGCUGAUCUUCUAGGGUUGCGAGAAGAUAAGAUUUAUGCCUCUUUCAAUUCCUUUAUUCUCUCAUCAACAUAGAUUCAUAUUUCAGUUUCCUGCAUUGGAAACAAAAAGGAAACUCGCUCAGCCCACUGCUGCCUGAGAGAGAUAAAUUAGGCUACACAAAGAACCAGUCCUGUAAACUCAAUCUCUUUCCCUUCCUUUCAUGUUUGUGAUUAUAAACAGAGUCAAGGGCAGUUGAAAUAUAACCCUCUGCCUGCCUGCCUGACUGCCUGUCCUAAUCAAAGAGAGGAGACAAACGCAGUGAUAGCGAUCCAUGUGGUGCUAGGAAAGAGGGACGCAGGCCCCCCAUGAUCCCACGCCAGCCUGGUGAGCAGAUCAGAUAGAAAGGCCUUUGUCUCUAACCAUUCUCUGGUCACAAAAUUGUUUCAAAAGGCCACGGAGAGAAGCUGGAUGCCGCGCUAUGGCAAAUGCUUUCAUUGUCUUGAUGGCAACGUGCAUGAUGCUAUUUGCUCAAAAGAAAGGCCUUUCGCUUUGGCGGGCUGUGCACUGUGAAUGUGCCAGGGCUCCUGGCCAGUCUCAGAAGUGUGCGGACAGAGGUCGCCAGAGGAUCAGACCACAGAACAAGGCCAGGGUUGGCAGCCCCGAGGAGCAGAGAGAUUCCAGGCUCUUCUGAGAGGAGAGGCCCACUUACUGAGAGCAGUCCUGAGUGAAAUGACGUUAUCUGACCGAGGAAUCAGGGCGGGUUUUUUUAAAUUAUUAUUGUUGUUGCUAUCCAACUGCUUUUGUUGUUUUUGAGCAUCACUGGAGGGAACUGCGGAGAGUUCGGUUGGCAGAUGAGGAAGAAGGGGGCCACAGGAAGGAGCCGAUUUGCUCAAGGACACAGGGCAAAUGUGUGGCAGAAGUGAGAAUGACAAAAGUCCUGAUCACAACAGUGGAUCGCGGCGCCUACUGUAACGCACCAGACACUGUGCUAAGCAUCACCAUCCCUCAUCUUCAUGACAAUUAAAAAGCAAGCCGCAUCACCCACACUUACAGAGAAGGAAACUGAGGCUCAGAGGAGGGACUCCUUUCUGGCAUCCUGACUCUUCUUGGAGGACUUUUUGCAACUGCUGGUUGGCGAAGGGGAAAAUCUAAUUUUUGAAGGAUAAUGAAGAAAGGGAGGAAGGCAGGAGAAGAAACAGAAUACAAGAGCCAAGUUGGCCCCCAUAAUAAAAUGUCAUCCCACAAGAUGUAAGACAAUAGUCUUUAAUAGACUUCGAGAUUCAAUUAUCCCUUUAUAUUUGCAUCAGACCCAUCACCAUCUAAAUUAUCCAUUCACCGUGAACACACCCUAAUUCACAAAUCGAAUAUUAAGCAAAUGAAGUUUGAGAGCCGGGUAGCCUGUAAGCCGUCACUCCUCAAAGACACACA